CCCCCCUCAGGGUCGCACCUGGAGAGUUUCCAAUAUUCUACCAGUCUCAGCUACGGGAGGGGGAGGCAAGCAGAGGCCUAGCCGUUCCGUUCCUAGCUUGGGCAGUGACUAGCGAGUGGAAGACAAUCUGCCACAAGU